rnacentral:rRNA from 1 species
AUGACACUUAGGAACCAUGAAAGGGUCAUCCUUUUUGCAGCUUACAGAUAUGUCUUUCACUGUAAUGAUCCGUUGGAGGCGGAAUUACAUGCGAUGAUGCAAGGCAUGGCGUUGGCCAUUGAGCACUCCGAGGCCCCGGUGUUUCUUCAAUCGGAUUCUUCCGAAGCUCUAUCAUGUCUGGCUUCGGAUGCCCUCCAACGUUCUGCUUAUGGCCAUUUAGUGAAGGAGAUCAAACACUUAUCUGGUAUUAGGGAGUUUAUUCCUCAGAAACUUAGUCGUGUCAGAAUAGAGUUGCCGAUCGGCUGGCUAACUACAGCCGUACGAAGCGUGCUACUGCUGUGUGGCUAG